UUGACGGGACCCGCACAAGCGGUGGAUGAUGUGAUUAAUUCGAUGCAACGCGAAAACCUUACCUACCCUUGACAUGUCCGGAAUCCCGAAGAGAUUUGGGAGUGCUCGCAAGAGAACCGGAACACAGGUGCUGCAUGGCUGUCGUCAGCUCGUGUCGUGAGAUGUUGGGUUAAGUCCCGCAACGAGCGCAACCCUUGUCAUUAGUUGCCAUCAUUUGGUUGGGCACUCUAAUGAGACUGCCGGUGACAAACCGGAGGAAGGUGGGGAUGACGUCAAGUCCUCAUGGCCCUUAUGGGUAGGGCUUCACACGUCAUACAAUGGUCGGUACAGAGGGUUGCCAACCCGCGAGGGGGAGCUAAUCCCACAAAGCCGAUCGUAGUCCGGAUCGCAGUCUGCAACUCGACUGCGUGAAGUCGGAAUCGCUAGUAAUCGUGGAUCAGCAUGUCACCGGUGAACUACGUUCCCGGGUCUU
rnacentral:rRNA from 1 species